CCAUUGCAUAACCAACCCCCUUACCCAGAUCUCUGUUUCCUUUACUAGUUUUUGUUAAAACUUUUUAGGUUUUUGUUCGCUUUCUAACCUUUCCUUUGGAUAAAUAGAAGUGCGAUGACGACUUGACUUUGUAUGAUUUACCUUGGAUUUAAUCAAUAUCUCCAAAGGUAGCGAAUACCCCGCUACAUACCCCAUUUCCCAUGUGACCGUUGGAAUUGAAAUUUUUUAUUUCCUCUUGUG
rnacentral:lncRNA from 1 species